rnacentral:rRNA from 1 species
CCUACGGGGGACAGCAGUCGAGAAUCAUUCACAAUGGGGGAAACCCUGAUGGUGCGACGCCGCGUGGGGGAAUGAAGGUCUUCGGAUUGUAAACCCCUGUCAUGUGGGAGCAAAUUAAAAAGAUAGUACCACACGAGGAAGAGACGGCUAACUCUGUGCCAGCAGCCGCGGUAAUACAGAGGUCUCAAGCGUUGUUCGGAAUCACUGGGCGUAAAGCGUGCGUAGGCUGUUUCGUAAGUCGUGUGUGAAAGGCGCGGGCUCAACCCGCGGACGGCACAUGAUACUGCGAGACUAGAGUAAUGGAGGGGGAACCGGAAUUCUCGGUGUAGCAGUGAAAUGCGUAGAUAUCGAGAGGAACACUCGUGGCGAAGGCGGGUUCCUGGACAUUAACUGACGCUGAGGCACGAAGGCCAGGGGAGCGAAAGGGAUUAGAUACCCGUGUAGUC